rnacentral:rRNA from 1 species
GUGCCAGCCGCCGCGGUAAUACGUAGGUGGCAAGCGUUGUCCGGAAUUACUGGGCGUAAAGGGCGUGUAGGCUGUUAGGUAAGUCAGAGGUGAAAUCCCUAAGCUCAACUUAGGAACUGCCUUUGAUACUAUCUUACUAGAGAUCGAGAGAAGUUGGCGGAAUUCCAAGUGUAGAGGUGAAAUUCGUAGAUAUUUGGAAGAACACCAGUGGCGAAAGCGGCCAACUGGCUCGUAUCUGACGCUGAGACGCGAAAGCGUGGGUAGCAAACAGGAUUAGAUACCCUGGUAGUCCACGCCGUAAACGAUGUGUGCUAGCCGUUUGUGAUUUAUCACAAGUGGUGCAGCUAACGCGUUAAGCACACCGCCUGGGGAGUACGAUCGCAAGAUUAAAACUCAAAGGAAUUGACGG